rnacentral:rRNA from 2 species
UCUACGGGAGGCAGCAGUGGGGAAUAUUGCACAAUGGGGGAAACCCUGACGCAGCGACGCCGCGUGAAGGAUGAAGUAUUUCGGUAUGUAAACUUCUAUCAGCAGGGAAGAAAAUGACGGUACCUGACUAAGAAGCCCCGGCUAACUACGUGCCAGCAGCCGCGGUAAUA